rnacentral:lncRNA from 1 species
GCUGAAUCACAUGUGCACACAUUGAAGUUAAAUGAACCCUAUGAAUUUUAAUGGAUGACAAUUUUUCCUAAGGACAUCUAAGCCCUAGCUACACCUAGAAGUUGUUGUUGAAGACUGCGGGCAGAUUACUUGUUGAAAAAGUAAGUAAUCUUAAUUAUAGUUUAUAUAAUACACAGAAUGCGUUGACAUUUGAUUACCCAGUGCUUUGAUAAUGAAGGAUGUUAUAUGUCAAAUCAAUGGUUAUAUUUAGAUUUUUUUUUAAAUUUUGGUAUACCCUUUGGUCAGUUUUAAGUAGUUUUAAGUACCCUGUUGAGAAAGGUGUUAUAAAUAAAGCCCAUUGAUUUAUAUUAUAGUGAGCGACUGGUUUAACGGAACACUGUGGAUUGAACAUUCUUGGCUGAAGACUGAGAAGUGGUUAUUGGUGGCAGUGCUGGGCCUGGAAAUGUUGCUGGGAGUAGCGGGGAAUGGUCUGAUUCUGUUUGUCAAAGUCAAAGUAAGAUUUGAUUGGUGGUUCUGUCACUUGCUGCUGUGUAUGAGUGAGAAAAGCAUUUUCUUAUCCUCCUUGCAUUUUUAGUGCAGGGCUCAGAUCUGCUGCCUUUACUGGCUGCCUUUCCUGAGUCUCACGUUGUCAGAUUUCGGUAUGAUUAGGUGUUGUAAUUUUGCAUCAUAAUUUCAUUAAAUUACUGCAGCACAGACUUGGUGUUUGACUGGCAUAUGUUCUUUAUUCCAAUUUUGUAAAGGCUGCUCCAUCCUUAUCAUCUCCAGCUCUCUUCUGGCCAUGCUGACAGGGGGUCAGAGAUCACCGUGGUGCGAGGUGGUCAGCCUCCUGAAGUUCACCUUCAUCAGCUCCUCUAUAGGGAGCUUAGCUGUGCUCUGCGUGCAGCGGUCGAUGGGCCCGUUCUCCACAAGACAUCCCCAAUUUGUUGUUAUGGCAACAGCUUGCUUGGCUUUCUGGGUGGCAGGGUUGGUGUUUGGCAGUCUCCCUGUUGUGAACAUGUGGAUCAAGUAUGAUCCUGCAGAGAUGCUGUGUGCAGUAUUCUGGGAGAACAGCUACUCUGACAUGUUGAUCUACAUUCUUAGUGCUUUUUCUGUCUGUAUCUUCCUCCCCUUCCUAUUCAUCCUGCUCUGCUCACUGUUGAGUGCCUUUGGCUACUACCCAAACUACAGGUAA